AUAAUGACCGCAGAUGGGGGCCUGAAGCCCUUAGGCACAUACAAGCCUCUGCAGUAUUUGCUGACUUUUUUCCAUCUGCAACUUUUUCUCUUGUUUCUCCUUUUGCUGGAGGAUGGUUGUGACUGGAUUCUCCUUAUUCCUCAUGGUGGAAAGGAUGUUCCUUCACCUGAACAGCCGGGCUGUAAAUCAUCAGGGAUGCUCAGAUGUGGCAGUGGCUUGACGCUGGGAAGCAAGAAGCAUCAGUGUUAUCUUUUUUAACACAAAAUAAAGAGCGCAGCCCUUAGCGAGGCUUGGUGGGCGAGAGCACUAGACACAGCUCUAUUAAUUUUGCUCCCCAAAGAAUGAUGUGGGUUCAAAUCUUUCUUCUGCCACAGUCUAAAAUUACCGGGAAGGUGAUGUUCCCUGGCCUGUGCUAUGCAUCACACCCAUCCCUGCUGGCACCACCAUCCGUUAUACAGCCGUGCCUGUCACACAGGGACUCCUGAAGCUGAUUCUGCCUUGAGAUUUCUUAUCCCGGUCAAGGACAUAAACCCCAGCACUGAAAUACUAUUGCAGCACACCUGUGCACUCCCUGCUCCCAGUCAACCCCCGCGACAGGGGUGAGGUUUCUGAUUUUGUAACCUACAAUGUCAGAACAUAAUGCUGACUUGUUUUACAACCUCUUUGUCACUCGAGUAAAUGAAGUCUCCAAUUUUAAA